rnacentral:rRNA from 1 species
UAGGGAAUCUUCGGCAAUGGACGCAAGUCUGACCGAGCAACGCCGCGUGAGUGAAGACGGUUUUCGGAUCGUAAAGCUCUGUUGUAGGGGAAGAACGUGUGUAAGAGUGGAAAGCUUACACAGUGACGGUACCCUACCAGAAAGGGACGGCUAACUACGUGCCAGCAGCCGCGGUAAUACGUAGGUCCCGAGCGUUGUCCGGAUUUAUUGGGCGUAAAGGGAGCGCAGGCGGUUUAGUAAGUCUGAAGUUAAAGGCAUUGGCUCAACCAAUGUAUGCUUUGGAAACUGUUAGACUUGAGUGCAGAAGGGGAGAGUGGAAUUCCAUGUGUAGCGGUGAAAUGCGUAGAUAUAUGGAGGAACACCGGUGGCGAAAGCGGCUCUCUGGUCUGUCACUGACGCUGAGGCUCGAAAGCGUGGGUAGCGAACAGGAUUAGAUACCCUGGUAGUCCACGCCGUAAACGCUGAGUGCUAGGUGUUAGGUCCUUUCCGGGACUUAGUGCCGACGCUAACGCAUUAAGCACUCCGCCUGGGGAGUACGACCGCAAGGUU